GCGAGCCCCAGGAGAGGGCAACCUUUCCUCCCAGAUCUGCUAUCUUUAUGGACAACAAUAAGCUCACCAGGAAGAAAGCACACCGUUCUGAAGAAAGCACACCAUUCUGCUACUAGAAGUAUCUGACAGACCUGUUUCUGGGGGAGCCAGAAUAGCCUGGGGGCAUCUUAACUCCUGAGAAGAAAUAAGAUUUGAAUGAUCUUCAGCUGUGAAUUGUUUUAUAUUUGUCUUUAGCAUUAUUUGCUCGCAAAUUGAAUUGUGCAAUAGGGCUUAAGAUGCCAUACUUAUAUCGGGUGCGGUAGGACAGGCUUAUAAUCUGUACAGUUGGGAUAUGGAGGCGGGAACGUUUGAGUGUAAUACCAGCCUGGGCUACAGAAUAAAAUCUUGUCAUAAAUGAACUGAAAGUAAACCAAACACAGAACAACAACAGUGGAAACCCGGACUCUUAUGUUAGAUUGAGUCAAAUACUGUGUGUAAUGAAAAGGAAUUGCUUUAAAAAUUGGUGAUUCCUUUUUCUGAUCCUAUAAGUUGUCACUUAAUUUUUGGUUGGGGUCAUUCGUUCGAUAUGCGAAUAUCUUUGAAAGUAAUCAUGGGGCUUCAGUUGGGCCAUUUGGGGGAUUCCUGAAGACAGGGUCCUGCCAAUUUUCUGAGAGAAAAUCCUGGCUUUAUUUGUGGACUUGAUGCAAAGGAUGGCUUUAGAUUUCUGAAGCCCAACAGAUGUGGAAACGCAAAGAACAAUCAAGUCUUCAAAGCCAGAGUAAAAAUAAUUGCUGUUCUGAACAGUUAGACACCAGUGAAGAGAAGGCUAAAGUCAUCUUGAGACAGGUAAGAUCUAAGUCCAUAGCCCCUUUCUUGAUUUUUCUGGCCCUGGACACUAAUCUGAAUGGACCAUAUCAAUGGGACCCAGAGUUCCAUUUCCAAGAGUCUGGCCAAUGGUAAGUCCUGGCUGGACAUGCUCAGUACCAUUACUGAGAGGGAAGAAGAGAAAUCUGCCCACCGUGUUCCUUCAGGAGGUCACCCUUCCUUGCUGAUGGACCUCUCCACUCUCCCCAGUGACUUCAUUUGCUCUGUCUGGGUUCUGG
ensembl:lncRNA